CCUACGGGUGGCAGCAGUGGGGAAUAUUGCACAAUGGGGGGAACCCUGAUGCAGCAACGCCGCGUGGGUGAAGAAGUACUCCGGUAUGUAAAGCCCUGUCAGCAGGGAAGAAAAUGACGGUACCUGACCAAGAAGCCCCGGCUAACUACGUGCCAGCAGCCGCGGUAAUACGUAGGGGGCAAGCGUUAUCCGGAUUUACUGGGUGUAAAGGGAGCGUAGACGGCAAGGCAAGGCUGGAGUGAAAGCCCGGGGCCCAACCACGGGAGUUCUUUGGAAACUGGGUUGCUGGAGUGCAGGAGGGGUAAGCGGAAUUCCUAGUGUAGCGGUGAAAUGCGGAGAUAUUAGGAGGAACACCGGUGGCGAAGGCGGCUUACUGGACUGUAACUGACGUUGAGGCUCGAAGGCGUGGGGAGCAAACAGGAUUAGAUACCCGGGUAGUC
rnacentral:rRNA from 1 species